GCCCUUCGGGGUGGAUUAGUGGCGAACGGGUGAGUAACACGUGGGCAAUCUGCCCUUCACUCUGGGACAAGCCCUGGAAACGGGGUCUAAUACCGGAUAAUACUUUCUCCCUCCUGGGAGAAGGUUGAAAGCUCCGGCGGUGAAGGAUGAGCCCGCGGCCUAUCAGCUAGUUGGUGGGGUAAUGGCCUACCAAGGCGACGACGGGUAGCCGGCCUGAGAGGGCGACCGGCCACACUGGGACUGAGACACGGCCCAGACUCCUACGGGAGGCAGCAGUGGGGAAUAUUGCACAAUGGGCGAAAGCCUGAUGCAGCGACGCCGCGUGAGGGAUGACGGCCUUCGGGUUGUAAACCUCUUUCAGCAGGGAAGAAGCGAAAGUGACGGUACCUGCAGAAGAAGCGCCGGCUAACUACGUGCCAGCAGCCGCGGUAAUACGUAGGGCGCAAGCGUUGUCCGGAAUUAUUGGGCGUAAAGAGCUCGUAGGCGGCUUGUCACGUCGGUUGUGAAAGCCCGGGGCUUAACCCCGGGUCUGCAGUCGAUACG
rnacentral:rRNA from 1 species